rnacentral:rRNA from 1 species
ACGGGUGAGUAAUGUAUCGGAACGUGCCUAGUAGCGGGGGAUAACUACGCGAAAGCGUAGCUAAUACCGCAUACGCCCUACGGGGGAAAGCAGGGGAUCGCAAGACCUUGCACUAUUGGAGCGGCCGAUAUCGGAUUAGCUAGUUGGUGGGGUAACGGCUCACCAAGGCGACGAUCCGUAGCUGGUUUGAGAGGACGACCAGCCACACUGGGACUGAGACACGGCCCAGACUCCUACGGGAGGCAGCAGUGGGGAAUUUUGGACAAUGGGGGAAACCCUGAUCCAGCCAUCCCGCGUGUGCGAUGAAGGCCUUCGGGUUGUAAAGCACUUUUGGCAGGAAAGAAACGUCAUGGGUUAAUACCCCAUGAAACUGACGGUACCUGCAGAAUAAGCACCGGCUAACUACGUGCCAGCAGCCGCGGUAAUACGUAGGGUGCAAGCGUUAAUCGGAAUUACUGGGCGUAAAGCGUGCGCAGGCGGUUCGGAAAGAAAGAUGUGAAAUCCCAGAGCUUAACUUUGGAACUGCAUUUUUAACUACCGGGCUAGAGUGUGUCAGAGGGAGGUGGAAUUCCGCGU